CAGACGCCGCCGCCUUAAGCCUUUUCCCAUCAGCCAUGGUCAACCCCACCAUGUUCUUCGACAUCGCCGUUGACGGCGAGCCCUUGGGCUGCAUCUCCUUCGAGCUGUUUGCAGACAAAGUUCCAAAGACAGCAGAAAACUUUCAUGUUCUGAGCACUGGAGAGAAAGGAUUCGGUUAUAAGGGUUCCUGCUUUCACAGAAUUAUUCCAGGGUUUAUGUGCCAGGGUGGUGACUUUACACGCCAUAAUGGCACUGGCGGCAAGUCCAUCUAUGGGGAGAAAUUUGAUGAAGAGAACUUCAUCUUGAAGCAUACAGGUCCCAGCAUCUUGUCCAUGGCAAAUGCUGGACCCAACACAAACGGUUCCCAGUUUUUCAUCUGCACUACUAAGACUGAAUGGUUGAAUGGCAAGCAUGUGGUUUUUGGCAAGGUGAAAGAGGGCAUGAAUGUUAUAUAAGCCACGGAGGGCUUUGCGUCCAAGAAUGGCAAGACCAGCAAGAAGAUUACCAUUGCUGACUGUGGACAACUCUAGUAAAUUUGACUUGUUUUAUCUUAAAGUACCAGAUCAUUCCUUCUGUAGCUCAGGAGAGCACCCCUCCAUCCCGUUUGCUCGCAGUAUCCCUAUAAUCUCUGUGCUCUCGCUACAAUUCUUUGGGUUCCAUAUUUUCCUUAUUCCCUUCCACGUCUAGUUGGAU